AGAGUUUGAUCCUGGCUCAGGAUGAACGCUAGCUACAGGCUUAACACAUGCAAGUCGAGGGCAGCAUGAAACUUAGCUUGCUAAGUUUGAUGGCGACCGGCGCACGGGUGAGUAACACGUAUCCAACCUACCGUUUACUACGGGAUAGCCUUCUGAAAAGGAGAUUAAUACCGUAUGGUAUUCUAAAGUUUCAUGACAUUAGAAUUAAAGGUUUACCGGUAAUCGAUGGGGAUGCGUUCCAUUAGAUAGUAGGCGGGGUAACGGCCCACCUAGUCAGCGAUGGAUAGGGGUUCUGAGAGGAAGGUCCCCCACAUUGGAACUGAGACACGGUCCAAACUCCUACGGGAGGCAGCAGUGAGGAAUAUUGGUCAAUGGGCGAGAGCCUGAACCAGCCAAGUAGCCGUGAAGGAUGACUGCCCUAUGGGUUGUAAACUUCUUUUAUAAAGGAAUAAAGUGGUCCACGUGUGGAUUUUUGUAUGUACUUUAUGAAUAAGGAUCGGCUAACUCCGUGCCAGCAGCAGC
rnacentral:rRNA from 1 species